rnacentral:rRNA from 1 species
AGCUUCCUACGGGGCGCAGCAGUGAGGAAUAUUGGUCAAUGGGCUUACGCCUGAACCAGCCAAGUCGCGUGAGGGAAGACUGCCCUAUGGGUUGUAAACCUCUUUUGUCAGGGAGCAAUUGGCGCUACGUGUAGCGUUAUCGAGAGUACCUGAAGAAAAAGCAUCGGCUAACUCCGUGCCAGCAGCCGCGGUAAUACGGAGGAUGCGAGCGUUAUCCGGAUUUAUUGGGUUUAAAGGGUGCGCAGGCGGGAGAGCAAGUCAGCGGUAAAAUGUCGGGGCUCAACCCCGGCCGGCCGUUGAAACUG